CCCCCCCCCCUCUGCAGAUUUUUCUUCGUUUCGCCGCCUCCCGUGCCCUAGAACGACACCCAGAUCUCACCGGAGUUCGCCGCCGUCUGAAGCUUCUGUCGGUCGAUUGCAUCACCUCUGGAGGUUCCUAGCUUCUCCUCUUGCUUCCCCUUGGUCUCAUCACUAUACCACACCUAUUAGUUCUCGCAGGGAAGCAAACACUCGAGUGCUUCGAGCUCGCCCCAGCGAACACCCCACCACCCGAGCUCCAGCCACCCUCUGUCGUCGUCCCCGCUCGCCACCGACGCCGCUGAGGACGUCGUCGAGACCGCAGUAGAGCUCCGCGCCUCGUACGCUACCCGUCGGAUUUUGGAGACCACCGGAGCAGCCACGACCAUCGCCACCCGAGCCACCGUGCCGCCGUUUUGUACAAGUCCGACUGCCCUGCCCUUGUUUCUCCGGAUUUUCAGAUGACCAAUGAGAUACAGUAGGGUCGCGAAUCUUCACUCAGCAUUUUCACCAGCGGGCAUUGAUGGGACUCAUCGUCUAUUAUGCUACAUUUCCGCUGUUAUUAUUGAAUAAAGCUAGCCCCUGCUGCUAUACAUACUGGACCAAUUACUAGAGCUCGUGCACGCCAACUAAAUUACCAGGUACUUUCGUUUCUUGGUAAUGAUUCUAAUGUUC